GAUGAACCACUGCAUGAUAAGAUCUCUAUGGAAAUGCUGCUAGGUCCAGAGAAAAACGUUGUAUAGUUUUUCAAAAGCAAUCAGGCACGCAUGGAGACAGCACUGAAGAAAAUUCAGACGGACAGUCAGAGAGAUUUCGACCUGGGAAAAAGCUACUUGAACUAAGCCAUGAUGCAGAGGUUUUGCCAGAUUUACUGAAACGUGGCUUGAGUCCAUUAACGAAGAUUAACAAUGAAUUAUAUAAAUUAAGAAACAAGCUUAUUCAUCAUAG